rnacentral:lncRNA from 10 species
ACAUAAGAGAACCCUCCUGAACUACUGAUGAGUCAAGGGCAGCCUUCAUGCAAGAACAACUCAAUCAGCCAUUCCAGAUGGAGGAAGGAAAAAGACAUGAAGUUAGGAAGCCUUCAGCAGGAAGCAGGAAAAAGGAACUUGUCUCCAUGAGUUAGUGACAGACCAUGGCACUAAACAUGAGAAAAAACAUCUUGCUGAAUGAAGCACAGAGGUUUCAAACUGGUGGAUCCAGAGCAGAAUAGAAGGAUCUCCAAUUCCUCUUCAGAUCAGAGUUAUACUCCUGUCCUCAACACAUUCCCUGAAGAAGAAAUUUCUCAUUUCCUCUUGAAGAAAUGGGGG